rnacentral:RNase_P_RNA from 1 species
GGCAGGCGGCCGCUCCGUUCUUCCUUCCGGAAGGACGGGGAGGAAAGUCCGGACUCCACAGGGCGGGAAGUCCUCCUUCAAGGAGGAUGCCGCGGACGAGAUUCCGCGGAAAGGAAAGCGCAACAGAAAAUAUACCGCCGGUUUCGGCCGGCAAGGGUGAAAUGGCGGUGUAAGAGACCGCCGGGACGGGAAGCAAUUCCCUCCGCAUGGCAAGCCCCUUCCGGAGCAAGACCAAAUAGGGGAUGAUGCCGUUGCCCGCGGCGUUAGCAAUCCCGGGUUCUGGUCGCAUCAGACAGAUGGUCGCCGCCCGUGAAAACGGGAACAGAAUCCGGCUUAUGCCUCAGU